rnacentral:tRNA from 1 species
GGCGGUAGGGCUGUUUUUAUUCUACAUCCGACUGUUAAUCGGACGGUCACUGGUUCAAGCCCAGUCGCAGGAGCCA